rnacentral:rRNA from 1 species
UCGAGCGAGAAGGUGUAGUUGAUACACUUGAUAAAGCGGCGAACGGGUGAGGAAUACAUGGGAUAAUCUACCAUCGAGUGGGGAAUAACCAACCGAAAGGUUGGCUAAUACCGCGUACGCCUCCGGAUCUUCGGGUUCGGAGGGAAAGCUGCACUGUGAGUGUAGCGCUCUUUGAUGAGCUCAUGUCCUAUCAGCUUGUUGGUAGGGUAACGGCCUACCAAGGCUUUGACGGGUAGCUGGUCUGAGAGGACGAUCAGCCACACUGGCACUGCGACACGGGCCAGACUCCUACGGGAGGCAGCAGUAAGGAAUAUUGCGCAAUGGGCGAAAGCCUGACGCAGCGACGCCGCGUGGGGGAUGAAGGUCUUCGGAUUGUAAACCCCUUUCGGGAGGGAAGAUGGAGCGAGCAAUCGUUCGGACGGUACCUCCAGAAGCAGCCACGGCCAACUUCGUGCCAGCAGCCGCGGUAAUACGAAGGUGGCAAGCGUUGUUCGGAUUCACUGGGCGUACAGGGUGUGUAGGCGGUUUGGUAAGCCUUCUGUUAAAGCUUCGGGCCCAACCCGGAAAGCGCAGAGGGUACUGCCAGGCUAGAGGGUGGAAGAGGAGCGCGGAAUUCCCGGUGUAGCGGUGAAAUGCGUAAAGAUCGGGAGGAAGGCCGGUGGCGAAGGCGGCGCUCUGGAACAUACCUGACGCUGAGACACGAAAGCGUGGGGAGCAAACAGGAUUAGAUACCCUGGUAGUCCACGCCCUAAACUAUGGAUACUAAGUGUCGGCGGGUUACCGCCGGUGCCGCAGCUAACGCAUUAAGUAUCCCGCCUGGGAAGUACGGCC